AUGGAGCCAGGAGGAGGUGUGUGUCUUGCAGGCAUACCAUUUUUAGUUAUCCUCUACCUCUCCAGUCCAAGGAAGAACUGGUUGUUUCUUAUUGAUGACCUCCAUCUCACAGGAAAGAUUAAAGGGCUGCACUUGAGCUGUGUGUUUGCUGAGCUUUCGUCACUCCAGUCCACUCUUGAGUUCAGUUAUGAAAGUUGUGUAUUUUCAGAGGUCAUUGGAAGGCAACACACCUCUGUUUUCUGAGUGUGGAGAACUCGCUCCUAAUCGCCAGGCUUAUUGUUUUAUUACCACUGUUUACAAACAGGGAGAAACCCCCUUGAAUGGGCACUUCCUUUCUUACCACAGGCUUCCCCACUAUUUUAAGAUGUAGAUAAGUUCAGUAUUCAGGUUCACUGUUUGACCCAUUAAACUGGUAUUGAGGUAUAAUUUGUGUGUUUUCCCAGUACCGUUGCACAUAGAAUGGGGUUCAUUUCCACACGUUUGAAUAAAUUUAUCCAGUUCAGUGAACCUGUUGUGAAG
rnacentral:lncRNA from 1 species